GACGAACGCUGGCGGCGUGCUUAACACAUGCAAGUCGAACGGAAAGGCCCUGCUUUUGUGGGGUGCUCGAGUGGCGAACGGGUGAGUAACACGUGAGUAACCUGCCCUUGACUUUGGGAUAACUUCAGGAAACUGGGGCUAAUACCGGAUAGGAGCUCCUGCUGCAUGGUGGGGGUUGGAAAGUUUCGGCGGUUGGGGAUGGACUCGCGGCUUAUCAGCUUGUUGGUGGGGUAGUGGCUUACCAAGGCUUUGACGGGUAGCCGGCCUGAGAGGGUGAACGGCCACAUUGGGACUGAGAUACGGCCCAGACUCGUACGGGAGGCAGCAGGGGGGAAUAUUGCACAAUGGGCGGAAGCCUGAUGCAGCAACGCCGCGAGCGGGAUGACGGCCUUCGGGUUGUAAACCGCUUUCGCCGGUGACGAAGCGGGAGUGACGGUAAUGGGUAAAGAAGCACCGGCUAACUACGUG
rnacentral:rRNA from 1 species